rnacentral:rRNA from 1 species
AUUGAACGCUGGCGGCAAGCCUAACACAUGCAAGUCGAACGAGUGGCGGACGGGUGAGUAAUGUCUGGGAAACUGCCUGAUGGAGGGGGAUAACUACUGGAAACGGUAGCUAAUACCGCCUACCAUCGGAUGUGCCCUGAUGGGAUUAGCUAGUUGGUGGGGUAUAGGCUCACCAAGGCGAAGAUCCCUAGCUGGUCUGAGAGGAUGACCAGCCACACUGGAACUGAGAAACGGUCCAGACUCCUACGGGAGGCAGCAGUGGGGAAUAUUGCACAAUGGGCGCAAGCCUGAUGCAGCCAUGCCGCGUGUGUGAAGAAGGCCUUCGGAUUGUAAAGUACUUUCAGCGGGGAGGCGUUACCCACAGAAGAAGCACCGGCUAACUCCGUGCCAGCAGCCGCGGUAAUAC